UAGAAUGUAGUGUAAUGGUAGCACAGAGAUUUUUGAAGUCUUUAGUUAAGGUUCAAAUCCUAGAAUUCUAG
ensembl:Mt_tRNA